rnacentral:rRNA from 1 species
CCUACGGGUGGCUGCAGUCGAGAAUCAUUCACAAUGGGGGAAACCCUGAUGGUGCGACGCCGCGUGGGGGAAUGAAGGUCUUCGGAUUGUAAACCCCUGUCAUGUGGGAGCAAAUUAAAAAGAUAGUACCACAAGAGGAAGAGACGGCUAACUCUGUGCCAGCAGCCGCGGUAAUACAGAGGUCUCAAGCGUUGUUCGGAAUCACUGGGCGUAAAGCGUGCGUAGGCUGUUUCGUAAGUCGUGUGUGAAAGGCGCGGGCUCAACCCGCGGACGGCACAUGAUACUGCGAGACUAGAGUAAGGGAGGGGGAACCGGAAGUCUCGGUGUAGCAGUGAAAUGCGUAGAUAUCGAGAGGAACACUCGUGGCGAAGGCGGGUUCCUGGACAUUAACUGACGCUGAGGCACGAAGGCCAGGGGAGCGAAAGGGAUUAGAUACCCCGGUAGUC